GAUGAAGAACGCAGCGAAAUGCGAUAAGUAAUGUGAAUUGCAGAAUUCAGUGAAUCAUCGAAUCUUUGAACGCACAUUGCGCCCGCUAGUAUUCUGGCGGGCAUGCCUGUCCGAGCGUCAUUUCAACCCUCAAGCCCCCGGGCUUGGUGUUGGGGAUCGGCGAGCCUCCGCGCCCGCCGUCCCCUAAAUCUAGUGGCGGUCUCGCUGUAGCUUCCUCUGCGUAGUAGCACACCUCGCACUGGGAAACAGCGCGGCCACGCCGUUAAACCCCCAACUUCUGAACGUUUGACCUCGGAUCAGGUAGGAAUACCCGCUGAACUUAAGCAUAUAAUAAGCGGAGGA
rnacentral:misc_RNA from 1 species